AAUUAUAUUUAUAUAUGAUUUUGUUCCAGAUGUCGAAGAGCUGUCGGCCAGACUAAGUUUAAUGGCAGCGUCGUCGAACGAGAAAGGUGAAAUAUUGGAACCGAGCAUGGGACCUGUUCAUGACGGAAACUACCUCAAAAAUAGAUGUGUAUACCUGGAACAGCUACUAAACGUGCGUAAGGAUACAAAGAUCCGGUCGGAUACCGGUAACGUUUACAUUGAAGAAUCCAACCCCACUUCGACAAACAAAACGUAGUUAUUAAUCCAGGAUUUGUACCAAUAGAUACAUAUCCGACAUUCUUUACCUAACUUGCAAUGUGACGGUAUUUGUUAAUGCUUUAUUUAUUACUAUUUUUAAUAUUAAAGUCUAAGCAAUGUUUGUCAGUCUAGAAGAAUUAAUUUUUUUCUGGUUCAUUUAAACACGUGUGAUAUUCUUUAGUGAUUUAACUUUGGAAUGGUGAACCUUGCAGCUAAAGUAACAAAGAUUUGCGUAUUGGAAUCAUACUUUGUACCUUAGUAUAUUUAAGCGUUUUUUUUGUUAAAAUUUUAAGCUUAAUUUAUUCGGUUUACAUAAGUACCUACAUGUAAGUUAUUCUAAGAAAGUUAUUUUUAUAUUGCACUUAGAAAAAGUUUUUCGUUGCCAAACGUCUGGCCGAACAAAUUUGCGAUACAAUUUAGCAUAAACAUGAAUGAACUCCAGUCCAGAAUUAUUAAUAAAAUAUGGCGCAGGCACAAAUUCUAAUUAAAUACCGCGCAUCCCAAAAAUAUAACAAAAUAUUUUGAGUAUAUCUAUUUAGUGUCACAGAACUGUUUACAUCACUGUAUUUUAUGGUGAACUGUAAAUUCGUUCAGUAGCUAAUUUCAAAAUUUAAGAAUGGAGACUUCGGUUCAUUUUCAGUUCAAAUAUCUUCCUUCACUUUUUUACGUUAUACCAGGUGUGGUUUUAAACGACAUUUGUAUCCGCUUUAAAAGAAAUUGCUUCCUUCCGGUAUUCACAACGCCCUGUGUAAAUAUGUUCAUUAUUUUUCUAAGCGUGGAUCAAAUGCCUCAGAUUUCACAUAUUAACUUACUUUGAAGGAUAUCUGAACAUUUCUUCUAAGCAAGUGUGGAACGACUGUUUACAAACAGUUCACAAUAGGUAUUACCUUUCAGUAUCCACCAACAUUUCAGAAUAUAUCCAAGGACUGAAGCAGAACGUGUUUCCCGCUUUGCUUUAGUAACAAGAUCAGAACAAAUUUGGAAUACCUAUUGGAAACACAUGAGGGUACUCAGAAAAUGCUUCCGUUCUUAAUCCGUCAUCUGAAUAAGGUAUCAGUAUCGCAGAAUUAAGCAUUUUGUAGAUACUCUUGAUCACAGUAUUUUAGUAUGUAGCUCAUAAAUGGCUUAAGGUAAAGUUGGGAAAAAAUUAGCAAACAAACAUUUGAACGAGUCAAUUGAAUUUGUUAAUUUGAACUGAAUGUAUACCUACCGCCCUUGUUCUUCGUGUAAUUACUAUAAUUAAGAAUCAGAUUACAAUAAAGUAAUAUAUUUUAGGUCGAUGUUUGAAUGAAUGAAUGAAUGCUAAGUGUUUAAAUUAAAACAAUUUUCGCGUACAUUUAUACCGCUGUUACGCAAUUACUCGAAAUUAGACUAAUUCCAAUUAAUAUGCUUGGCACACUUAGUUAUUUUCAACGUGUGCGAGGUUAAGCUAUUUUCGGUAAUCAAACCUAGACAUCUUUCGAAAAAGUAAUUUUUACGUGACAUACAAUUGCUGCCAAUUUCAUUAUCAAUGCAUAUAUGUGCAUAUUGCUCUGUAAUUAACAUACUCGAUUUGCAAAUACAAAGUUGCAUUGAUCCUCUGUCAAAGUACAAUUAUCGUUGUAGAUACUUCCGCUAUAAAAUCAUUAAUUAUUCAUAUUUAUGUACCAAGUAUGUAGAUAGAAUACUACGCACCUAAAAAGUAACUACCUAGUUAACGUAGUUUGCAAAUAUUGUAAAGAUGUAUGUAUUAUUCAUUCUAUAUGUAAAUUUAAUAAAACUCGACAAAUACGUCUUGAA